CAAGAAUCAAGAUGGCGGCUGAGUCAAGAACUAGCAGGAAGUUGGGAUAAACAAAUACCCAAACUUGAUGUUCUACUUAAUUUNGAACAACUGCAACAAAUAAAUAUGGAUUCAUGGUCUCAAAUGGGUAAAAACGUGGACCUAAAAGAUUUGGAGGCACCCACGUCGUCAACUUGGUACCUUCAUCGGCCACACACGACGAAUAGGGAUAUCCGUAUCCUGUUAUUUGUUCUGGCAUACGAUCCGGCUUACUUACUUUGUUCAUGGUGAUAUCACUUUUUUGUUUUCC
rnacentral:lncRNA from 1 species